GGGGCUAUGGCGCAGCUGGUAGCGCAUCUGCUUUGCAAGCAGAGGGUCGUCGGUUCGAGUCCGACUAGCUCCACCA
rnacentral:tRNA from 1 species